rnacentral:rRNA from 1 species
UGAUGAAAAAUCUGACCUGCUCUAUGUAAAUGGCCGCGGUAUUUUGACCGUGCUAAGGUAGCAUAAUCAUUAGUUUUUUAAUUGGGGGCUGGAAUGAAAGGUUGGACAAAGUAAAAUCUGUCUUAUAAAAAUGAAUUUUGUGUUUAAUGUGAGAAGACAUGAGGGAAGAUAAGACCCUGUUGAGUUUUAUUAUUUUACUGGGGCGGUAAUGAUGAAAAAGGGAUUAAAUUACCACAGGGAUAACAGCGUGAAAUAUUUGGAGAGUUCUUAUUGAUAAAUAGUUUUGCGACCUCGAUGUUGAAUUAAGACUUUUUGGUGUAG